rnacentral:rRNA from 1 species
AAUAGAUACCCUGGUAGUCCACGCCGUAAACGAUGUCGACUUGGGGGUUGUGCCCUUGAGGCGUGGCUUCCGGAGCUAACGCGUUAAGUCGACCGCCUGGGGAGUACGGCCGCAAGGUUAAAACUCAAAUGAAUUGACGGGGGCCCGCACAAGCGGUGGAGCAUGUGGUUUAAUUCGAUGCAACGCGAAGAACCUUACCUACUCUUGACAUCCAGAGAACUUAGCAGAGAUGCUUUGGUGCCUUCGGGAACUCUGAGACAGGUGCUGCAUGGCUGUCGUCAGCUCGUGUUGUGAAUGUUGGGUUAAGUCCCGCAACGAGCGCAACCCUUAUCCUUUGUUGCCAGCGAUUCGGUCGGGAACUCAAAGGAGACUGCCAGUGAUAAACUGGAGGAAGGUGGGGAUGACGUCAAGUCAUCAUGGCCCUUACGAGUAGGGCUACACACGUGCUACAAUGGCAUAUACAAAGAGAAGCGACCUCGCGAAGAGCAAGCGGACCUCAUAAAGUAUGUCGUAGUCCGGAUUGGAGU